GGGUUAGCACAUGAACAAGUGAUAGAUGUGUUCCAUUAUGUCAAUCAGUUCCAGAAUACGACUCUGAAUUCCACAAUGAGAAGACACAAAGGCAAGAUUUUAAGAGGCAACCAGAACACAGCUAGAAAUGAAUCAACCAACUUCAGUUCCCUAGCUCAGUCUGAACAGCUCUGGGGAGACGAUCUAGCUUGGGAACAAGAACAUCGUAAAAAACUUGAAUUUUUAAAUGCUAUGGUAGUACAUAACCAUUCUGGAGAUCUGGGACAACAAAAUCCUCAACAGCAAGUUCAUUCAAUUAGAACGGUAAAUGAACCUAACCAUUUUGGAGUUCUGGGACAACAAAAUCCUCAACAUCAAGUUCAUUCAAUUAGCACGGUAAAUGAACCUAACCAUUUUCGAGUUCUGAGACAACAAAAUCCUCAACAGCAAGUUCAUUCAAUUAACACGGUAAAUGAACCUAACCAUUCUGGAGUUCUGGGACAACAAAAUCCUCAACAGCAAGUUCAUUCAAUUAGCACGGUAAAUGAACCUAACCAUUCUGGAGUUCUGGGACAACAAAAUCCUCAACAGCAAUUUCAUUUAAAUAACAUGGUAAAUGAAUCUACACAUUUUAGAUUUCUGGGACAACAAAAUCCUCAACAGCAAAAAAAGGGUGACCUGCAAAGUCCUUUGCAUCUUCCUUGUGCAUCUUCCUUCAUCUUCCCUGAUUCACAAUUAAUGGGCACCAGACAGAAGGAUAUUCAAGUCAAUCCAGAAGCUUCCUCCUCUCAGUCAACUGCAACUGUUGUUUUGCAGAAAGAGCUAAGGUUAAACAAAUUACUGGACCAAUGAACUUUGGAAUAGAACUGCUUUACUCAAAGACGCACAACAACAUAGAACUACAUACCCAAGAGGGAGCAGUGGUGCAGGCAAACUCAGCAAUAAUGGCUUUGAACAGCCCUGUAAUUCAUCGCAUGACUACAACCCUGGAACUUACGAUUAUUGAUAUGGAGGAGUUCAGUGAGCAAUCUGUGCAGUGUUUCGUGGAAGCUGCUUACACAGGCAGUUUACCAUCAAUCACUAAAGGCAUUUUUAGAGAUCUCAACAAAAUUGUUCAUGCCUUUAAAGUGGAUUGGUUGCAAAGUAGCUGCUUUGCAAUUUUUCGCGAUUUCAGUUUUACUGAUACUAAGCCAGGCAAUCAGCUAUCAUAUACAGAUCUCUGCUUUUUAUUUGAUGAGGCUGCUUUCGUUCUCUCUAAGCUAAAGCAAGAGAACUUUAUGGAUGAAGCUCUCAAUAAAAUUAAGGGUACUGGAACCAAACAGGAAUUUGUAACACGAUAUUUGAUCGAUAAUGAUUUAGAAAAAGUACCCUGUCAUCAACUUGACAUGGUUAUUAAACUUGUUGGAGACGAUGUAGAGCUAAUAGUUCAGCAUGUAAGAGAAAAGCUCCUGGUUCGAUUAGGUCUGGAAGGAGCAGUGAUUUCACCAAACUUUAAAUAUCUACUGCAGAACUGUGACCUCUCACAUUGUUCGAAGAGAAAUCCUCAGUUGAUCGAGCAGCUUUUUGACAUACUCCAGGAGGUUGCUACGAAUGAGGAUCUUAAAUGGGUUCUACGGCUACACAGAAAAUUAGCCAGCUUAUAAAUAAUUUACCGAUUAAUUAAGAAAAAAUAUUUGUCGACGAUAAAUUUGAGGUGACUGUCUUUAUUUUUGUAAUAUUAUAAAUACAAUUUAUGGUAUCUUAGCUGCGAUUAUAAAUUUUUAUUUGCUGUUAAAUACUUCUAUUAUAUCUUUUAUUUUAUCUUUUAUCUUUUAUCUUUUAUUUUAUCUUUUAUCAAUUUUAAUUCAUUAAAUCACAACAAACGGUCAAUUCGCAGAUAGUUUUAUCUUCAGAUGUGUUUUUAAUCAGAUUCUGUAUGUUACUAUUAUGAAGAUCUUUGAUAGUUUGAUAUCAUAUUAUUAAUGAUACUAUUCUCCAG